rnacentral:rRNA from 1 species
GAUGAACGCUGGCGGCGUGCCUAAUACAUGCAAGUCGAGCGAACGGACGAGAAGCUUGCUUUUCUGAUGUUAGCGGCGGACGGGUGAGUAACACGUGGAUAACCUACCUAUAAGACUGGGAUAACUUCGGGAAACCGGAGCUAAUACCGGAUAAUAUUUUGAACCGCAUGGUUCAAAAGUGAAAGACGGUCUUGCUGUCACUUAUAGAUGGAUCCGCGCUGCAUUAGCUAGUUGGUAAGGUAACGGCUUACCAAGGCAACGAUGCAUAGCCGACCUGAGAGGGUGAUCGGCCCACCUGGAACUGAGACACGGUCCAGACUCCUACGGGAGGCACCAGUAGGGAAUCUUCCGCAAUGGGCGAAGGCCUGACGGAGCAACGCCGCGUGAGUGAUGAAGGUCUUCGGAUCGUAAAACUCUGUUAUUAGGGAAGAACAUAUGUGUAAGUAACUGUGCACAUCUUGCCGGUACCUAAUCAGAAAGCCACGGCUAACUACGUG